CCUGUAGGUGAGUGAAGAAGGCAUGACAUUCCUUUAACUUUAAUUCUAGUUUUGUUUUAAGCUCUUUGAGGAUACAGUGCUUGCCCUGGCAAGCAAGCACCCGUCCGGGAGGACGAGCUUCCUUCCCACACACCACACGAUAUUUGCCACUGCAACCCAGCACCGAAACUGCCAACACGACACAAUAUUGCCCUCCCACCGCCGCCCAAAGGGAUCAGAAUCAUGAACUAGCUACAUCUGGAAACUUCAGCACCCCCCCAAGGGGAGUGGGGGGUGGGGAGAAGGGGGGCAGCGGAAGAAGGCGAAAGGGAAGACGAAGACCAAGGAAGGGGGGAAGAGGUAUAUGACACUUGAAUGUAUUUCAUCAAAACUAGUCCACGUUUUAAUUCUACGUGAAAAUCUAACAGCCAGUCAUGAAAUGAAAGUAAGUGUUCCUUUCCAAAGGGAACUUUUUUAUCUCCGCCACACACAAAGAAAAAUCUGACUGGCAGGUCCGGUAUGAUUUCGAUAUCGUGAUUUUGUCUGCACUUAGCAAAUACACAAGUCUGUCAUGCCUACGGUGCAGCAACAGGAGAGGGGCAAGACUAAGUAGCAGAAAAUAAGGGAAGCAACAGCUUCUCUCUUCUCUUCACCACAGUGAAUCUGCAUGACGACGUCUCGUCUCUCUCACUUCUCUUUAUCUCCCUUAUAAUCCCCCUACCCUCCCUCCCUUCCUCCCUCCCUCCCUCAUUCCUUCAAACAGUUCACUGCUGUGCAUGACCGAGUCUCCGCCAUGAGAGAGAGAGAGAGAGAAAGAGAGAGAGAGAGAGAGAGUGAAUCUUGGUAAACCUUUCGAUACUACUGACAUAAUUUCCCCUUUACUCAGCUCCGUGCAACAUAUUCAUGGAAAGAAUCCUGGUGUCAGACUCGAUCAUAAAUGGAUGAUGACUCAAGUAUUAUGAAUCAUGCAGUCAUGCACAAACCUUGCUGCUCAGUUCUCCUCUCCCCCACGAGCCCACCCCACCACGUCUGUCCCCCGAGUCUCAGAUGUUCCCUUUCUUUCAUACUUCACCAUCGGCCGCCCAGCCUUCUCUCUCUCUCUCUCUGAUAUUAUUACUUCGCCCGACUAUGUUCUUCUCACUGAAGUUCAAUGUUAUAUUCUCUGCAUAUCAGUACCUAAGUCUCUCGGAAGCUAUGGCUUAUAUAAUACAACCUUUUUCGCACUACUUUCUUUUCUCUCCCUCUCACUGUGUUCCAAUCUUUGAUAAAAUUUUCAUAUAUAUUCAUUCUCUCUCUCUCUCUUCCAAUAUUUUCUGAUCAUGUUUUGACCUACCUCACCCUCUUCAAGUCUUAAGUCCCAUUGUGUUAGUUAUAGCUGAGAGAGAGAGAGAGAGAGAGAGAGAGAGAGAGAGAGAGAGAGAGAGAGAGAGAGAGAGAGAGAGAGAGAGAGAGAAUUCUGCUUGAAAAAGAUAGUAAAGCGAAUUAUAUGAAACAGUCGAUGAGUAAAUAACAAAGAAAAGCAUCAAAAUAUGAAAACUAUAUAUUAUAACUGAUGUUAGCACAAGGAAUGUAUGUAUACAUACACUUGUACAUAAACAUACGCAUGUACGUAUACAUACAUACACAAUAUAUAUAUAUAUAUAUAUAUAUAUAUAAUACAGUAUAAACAGCCUUGACGACACAACAACCACAAGAAGCAAAUGAAACUUCGUUAACUGACUGCCAAGGCCAUUCUUUUCCCGAGAACCUAAAAAUAACGAGGAACGGAACGAAAGCAAAACUCGGGCGAUGCGUUGUCAUCUCACCUUAGCAACAAGAACAACACGAGAGCGGGUCGCGGUGGCAGUGAUGGCGCAGAGACGACAGACGAGGCACAAAAAUAUGAGAGAGAGGCAGAGAAAAAGUGGACAAGAUGAGAUAGGACAAAAAAUAAAUAAAUAAACCCAAGGGCUCAGACUGACAAGAAUAUUACAAUAACAAAGGAAAGAUCUCCACAUGACGUGAAGUAAAGCCUCAGAGAGAGAGAGAGAGAGAGAGAGAGAGAGAGAGAGAGAGAGAGAGAGAGAGAGAGAGAGAGAAUAUAUACACAUAUUUCAUUACACUGUGCGUCUGUGUAUAGUGAAUGUUUGUAUGUAUGCAUGUGCGUAUUACGCAUCGUCUUGAACAUUGGAUACCCCAAAUUAACAAAGCAUUUAACUCAACCAGAAAAUCAGUAUCUUUAGGGAUAACUGAAAUGGUCGAAGAACGAGUUACGUGAAAUUUUAAAAAAAAAGUUGCGCAUAUAACUUGAAGGGGGAAAAACCGUCAUGGAGAUGUAACUAGGAAUGGAGCAUAAGCAAUAAGAUAAAUUUAUAAAAAUACAGGAACCGUCAAAAUGUGGAAAUACGUAUAAGUCUAACAGUAAAAUAAAGGAAGAAAAAGCCAAAAGAAGCAGUACGAGAAGAUAUGAAGAACUAAGAUACAUAACGACAAAAUAUGAGAAACAGGGAAUCAAGACAAGACAGGAGAAUUGUAGUCAAUGGACAGUAACAGCCGAAAGUAAAUAUUGAGGAGAAAUAAAAGAGAGAUUAAAACAAAAAAAGACUAUACGACCAAGGGAGUGAAAGUAACAAUUUUGAAACGAACAAAAGGGGAGGGUGGGACGAAGAAAAGGAGAAAAGGGGAACUAUAUUAGAAUUCAGUGAAAAAGGAAAUGUUUUUAAAAAAGUGGGAGAGCAAAAUGUGAGAGGAAAAAACUCAGUUUCUCAAAUCAUUCCUUAGAACAAACACAUGCAGCAAGUCACACUGAUCUUCUUGUCCCAAGGUCCCUCGUGCAAGAGAGGGAAUUUUUGGAAGCCAGAAAUAACAUGGAAUUCGAGAUCUGGCUCAACUGCAUCUUAGUCAAAGUAUUUUCUGUAUCGCUUAAGUUUCAAAACAAUCCGUUCUAUUUCAAAGCGUGACACAAUGACCACAUCUGGAAGAAAAUGACUUGGUUUCCAGGACAUCCGUUGCACAUGGGUGAUCUCAAUAUAAAAAUGGACUACCCAAACCAUUUAGAGGACAGAUAACCCUCCUGAACGAUUUGGAAAAUCUUCUGCAAUCUUUGGGGUGAUUCAGUUUAAAUGACAUGACAUCGAUAUGCCAGUUCUCAUUAAAAGACAACUUCUGUUCCCA